rnacentral:tRNA from 1 species
GCCUGGGUGGCUCAGUCGGUGGAGCAUCUGACUUCGGCACAGGUCAUGAUCUCAUGGUUCAUGGGUUCGAGCCCCGCAUCAGGCU